AUGAUCAACACACUCACUCUUCUGCUGGUUGCUCUCUCUCUGCCCUGUUGUACAGGUCAGAGCAUGGAGUCCAUUCCCUCCAGUUCAGUGGUGAAAAAGCCCGGGGAGACUCUCAGUCUCUCCUGCAGGGGAUCUGGCUUCACAUUUAGCUGCUGCAGCAUGCACUGGAUCAGACAACCUGCAGGAAAAGCUCUGGAGUGGAUCGGGAAUGGCUUUUCCGUUGCCAGUAGAAACAAUUAUGCCAGCAGUGUGAGAGGCCGUGUAGAAGUCAGUAGAGAUGACAGCAACAGCAUGACGUAUCUGAGACUGUCCAACUUACAGCCAGAGGACUCUGCUGUGUAUUACUGUGCCAAACACACAGUGGUUAAAGGAAGCAGAGAGGCUCUACAAAAACCUCAAACUAGUUAUUCUCACAAGUACCAACAGAUGGCAGUAGAAGAUAAGAAGUACUGA